AAGUCUUAACCGUGAAGAAGCAGGUUGCUAGCACCCGCCUUUACUGCGGCUAAGUGUCAUUGCUGACGUGGUGGGCUUCCACCAAUCAUUUGGUUAUGGAACAUUCUAAAACUUAGGCAAGACGAUUGUGAUUGGCUAGAGGGCGUAAGCCCGCCUCCAGGGUGACGUGUCUGCCUAUGGAUAUCAGUUGCCAGAGAAACCUGGCUUUACUAUGGCGGUUGGAGGGUCGGCAGUGAUCACACGUCGGCUGCUGGAAAGAACUGGAUUCUCGUUUCAGGCUACCAUCAAAAAAGCUAAGUUUGCUGUAUAGUAAGGAUCAGAAGAUCUGAUCCUGAUUGCAGAACAUUGCUGAUUACAGAAUCUUGGGUUGUGUCUCCCACCUCAUCUUUCCCUACCAUCCCAGAAGAUCUAUAAGGUUCCAUCUGGGAAAACACUAGAAGUUCUUGGAAGGGAAAGAAGGAAGAGGAUUACGUUUUUUUCCAGAAUUCUAUGCUUGGUUCAUCACUGGCUUUAUCUCUCACCAAUUUAUCACCUCCUCCAACAAGCUACUGCUGAAAGUGGUGUUAGUGGUUGGAAUAAAAACAGGGUUGAAUGAGUUCCAGAAAGCAGGGUUCUCAAACUCGUGGACAACAAUCUGCAGAAGAAGACAACUUCAAAAAACCAACUAGAAGCAAUAUGCAGAGAAGUAAGAUGAGAGGAGCCUCCUCAGGAAAGAAGACCGCUGGUCCACAGCAGAAGAAUCUGGAAGCAGCACUCCCCGGCAGGUGGGGGGGUCGCUCUGCAGAGACCCCCCCUUCGGGGUCCGUGAGGAAGACCAGAAAGAACAAACAGAAGACCCCUGGAAAUGGAGAUGGUGGCAGUACCAGCGAAGCACCUCAGCCACCUCGGAAGAAAAGGGCCCGGGCUGACCCCACUGUGGAAAGUGAGGAGGCAUUUAAGAAUAGAAUGGAAGUGAAAGUGAAGAUUCCUGAAGAAUUAAAACCAUGGCUAGUUGAGGACUGGGACUUAGUUACCAGGCAGAAGCAGCUCUUUCAACUCCCUGCUAAGAAAAAUGUAGAUGCCAUUCUGGAAGAGUACGCAAAUUGCAAGAAAUCACAGGGAAAUGUUGAUAAUAAGGAGUAUGCGGUUAAUGAAGUUGUGGCAGGAAUAAAAGAGUAUUUCAAUGUGAUGUUGGGCACUCAGCUGCUCUAUAAAUUUGAGAGGCCCCAGUAUGCCGAAAUCCUCUUGGCUCACCCUGAUGCGCCCAUGUCCCAGGUUUAUGGGGCACCACACCUACUGAGAUUAUUUGUGAGAAUUGGAGCAAUGUUGGCAUAUACGCCCCUUGAUGAGAAGAGCCUUGCAUUAUUGUUGGGCUAUCUGCAUGAUUUCCUAAAAUACCUGGCAAAGAAUGCUGCGUCUCUGUUUACUGCCAGUGAUUAUAAAGUGGCUUCUGCUGAGUACCACCGCAAAGCCCUGUGAGGGUCUCCUGACCGCUCGCUGUUAUGUCUGGUAUCUGUAAACACUCUUUUUGUUCUUAGUCUUUUUCUUGUAUAAUUGAUGUUCUUUAAAAUUGUUCAUGUAUAACAGGGCUUAUGUUUCAGUUUGUUUUCUGUUUUAUUCUAAACAGAAAAUAAAAGGAGUGCAAGCUCCUUUUCUCAUUUCAAAGUUGCUACCAGUGUACACAGUAAUUAGACAAAGAAGAAACAUUCAGUAGAACAUUUUAUUGCCUAGUUGACAACAUUGCUUGAAUGCUGGUGGUUCUAUCCCUUUGACACUACACAAUUUUCUAAUAUGUGUUAAUGCUAUGUGGAAAAAUGCCCUGAUUCCUAGUGCCAAAGGUUCAACUUAAUGUAUAUACCUGAAAACCCAUGCAUUUGUGCUCUUUUUUUUUUAUGGUGCUUGAAGUAAAACAGCCCAUCCUCUGCAAGUCCAUCUCUGUUGUUCCUUAGGCAUUCUAUCUUUGCUCAAAUUGUUGAAGGAUGGUGGUUUGUUUCAUGGUUUUUGUAUUUGAGUCUAAUGCACGUUCUAACAUGAUAGGGGCAAUGCAUUAUUGUGUAGCCACGGUUUUCUGGAGAAGUUGAUAUUUUAGGAAUUGUAUUUCAGAUCUUAAAUAAAAUUUGUUUCUAAAUUUCAAA
rnacentral:lncRNA from 1 species